rnacentral:lncRNA from 1 species
UCCACCCAGUUGCCUUAGCCAAAUUCAUUAUUAUACCAGGAAAUGAACUUGACAAAGUGGCCAUUGAGGGCAAUGCAGCCCCGGCAUCAAAGGUGGAAGAGUGGGUGUCACUGUUGAAGUUGCAAGAGACAACCUGGCCAGUGUGGCCCAGGAUGCCCUUGAGGGAGCCCUCCGAUGCCUGCUCCACCAUCUCUUGAUGUCAUUGUAUUUG